AGCAUAAUGGUGUAAUGGUUAUGGAGCUGGGCUUCUAACCCAGAGGUUGCAGGUUUGAUUCCCAUGUGCAA